CUUCUGACCCUGGGGAUAACCCAGCCUCCCUUCCCAGAAGUCCUUGCAUUCAUGGACUAGCAUGGGUCAGAGAAACAGCUGGACUGGGAAUAGAGCCUUGCACUGACCGGUGUGGGCGGCCGCCGAGCUCCAGGUACGUGGAAAACGCGGGAAGCGCAGGCCGGACCUGCGGCUCAGCAACCGCGCGGAGACUCCUCUCAGGGACAUGUAGCCGGAUGUUUCUCUCAGUUAUUGGACCAGCUCCUGCCUUCAUGCCACCAUGCUCCCCACUAUGAUAAUGGACUACACCUAUGAAAAUGUGAGCAAGCCCCAGUAAAAUGUCUUCUUUGGUUGUGGCUCAUAAUCAUCUGUAAUGGGAUAUGAUGGACUCUUCUGGUGUGUCUGGGGACAGCAACAGUGUACUCAUACAAUCAAUCAAUCAAUCAAUCAAUAAAUAAAUGCAGAUUCAGUGGGCAAUGUAGCACCACAGUGUCCUGUGACAAACACUUCUACUGAGU
rnacentral:lncRNA from 1 species